rnacentral:rRNA from 1 species
GGGAAACCGAGUCUUAACUGGGCGUUCAGUCUCUGGAUAUAGACCCGAAACCAGGUGAUCUAGCCAUGGGCAGGUUGAAGGUUGAGUAACAUCAACUGGAGGACCGAACCGACUAAUGUUGAAAAAUUAGCGGAUGACUUGUGGCUAGGGGUGAAAGGCCAAUCAAACCUGGAGAUAGCUGGUUCUCCCCGAAAGCUAUUUAGGUAGCGCCUCGGACGAAUACUACUGGGGGUAGAGCACUGUUAAGGCUAGGGGGUCAUCCCGACUUACCAACCCUUUGCAAACUCCGAAUACCAGUAAGUACUAUCCGGGAGACACACGGCGGGUGCUAACGUCCGUCGUGGAGAGGGAAACAACCCAGACCGCCAGCUAAGGUCCCAAAUUACUACUAAGUGGGAAACGAUGUGGGAAGGCUCAGACAGCCAGGAUGUUGGCUUAGAAGCAGCCAUCAUUUAAAGAAAGCGUAAUAGCUCACUGGUCGAGUCGGCCUGCGCGGAAGAUGUAACGGGGCUAAGUAGUAAACCGAAGCUGCGGCAAUGUGCUUUUGCACAUUGGGUAGGGGAGCGUUCUGUAAGCGGUUGAAGGUGUGUGGUAACGCAUGCUGGACGUAUCAGAAGUGCGAAUGCUGACAUGAGUAACGAUAAAGGGGGUGAAAAACCUCCUCGCCGGAAGACCAAGGGUUCCUGUCCAACGUUAAUCGGGGCAGGGUAAGUCGACCCCUAAGGCGAGGCCGAAAGGCGUAGUCGAUGGGAAACGGGUUAAUAUUCCCGUACUUCUUACAAUUGCGAUGGGGGGACGGAGAAGGCUAGGUGGGCCUGGCGACGGUUGUCCAGGUUCAAGUGCGUAGGCUUAAGAGUUAGGUAAAUCCGGCUCUUUUUAAGGCUGAGACACGACGUCGAGCACCUACGGGUGUGAAGUCAUUGAUGCCAUGCUUCCAGGAAAAGCCUCUAAGCUUCAGAUUGUAAGGAAUCGUACCCCAAACCGACACAGGUGGUCGGGUAGAGAAUACCAAGGCGCUUGAGAGAACUCGGGUGAAGGAACUAGGCAAAAUGGUACCGUAACUUCGGGAGAAGGUACGCUCUCGACGGUGAAGUCCCUCGCGGAUGGAGCUAUUGAGAGUCGCAGAUACCAGGUGGCUGCAACUGUUUAUUAAAAACACAGCACUGUGCAAAAUCGUAAGAUGACGUAUACGGUGUGACGCCUGCCCGGUGCCGGAAGGUUAAUUGAUGGGGUUAGACUUCGGUCGAAGCUCUUGAUCGAAGCCCCGGUAAACGGCGGCCGUAACUAUAACGGUCCUAAGGUAGCGAAAUUCCUUGUCGGGUAAGUUCCGACCUGCACGAAUGGCGUAAUGAUGGCCACGCUGUCUCCACCCGAGACUCAGUGAAAUUGAAAUCGCUGUGAAGAUGCAGUGUACCCGCGGCUAGACGGAAAGACCCCGUGAACCUUUACUACAGCUUGGCACUGAACAUUGACCCUACAUGUGUAGGAUAGGUGGGAGGCUUUGAAGCACGUACGCCAGUAUGUGUGGAGCCGUCCUUGAAAUACCACCCUUGUAGUGUUGAUGUUCUAACGUCGACCCCUUAUCGGGGUUGCGGACAGUGCCUGGUGGGUAGUUUGACUGGGGCGGUCUCCUCCCAAAGAGUAACGGAGGAGCACGAAGGUGGGCUAAUCACGGUUGGACAUCGUGAGGUUAGUGCAAUGGCAUAAGCCCGCUUGACUGCGAGAAUGACAAUUCGAGCAGGUGCGAAAGCAGGUCAUAGUGAUCCGGUGGUUCUGAAUGGAAGGGCCAUCGCUCAACGGAUAAAAGGUACUCCGGGGAUAACAGGCUGAUACCGCCCAAGAGUUCAUAUCGACGGCGGUGUUUGGCACCUCGAUGUCGGCUCAUCACAUCCUGGGGCUGAAGUCGGUCCCAAGGGUAUGGCUGUUCGCCAUUUAAAGUGGUACGCGAGCUGGGUUUAGAACGUCGUGAGACAGUUCGGUCCCUAUCUGCCGUGGGCGUUGGAAGAUUGAAGGGGGCUGCUCCUAGUACGAGAGGACCGGAGUGGACGAACCUC